UUUUCUCAAUACUAAGUUGGCGGGUAUGGGGCGGGGAAUUGGCGGGGAUGGGGCGGGGGUUUGGCGGGUAUGGGGUGGGGGUUUGGCGGGUAUGGGGCGGGGACGGGGAUGGGGCGGGGGUGGUUUUAGAGUUGGACCCGCCGGGGCGGGGACGGGGAUUAUUUUCAGACCCGACAUGGGGAUGGGGAUGGGGAUGGGGAUGAAAAUGUGAGGCGGGGAUGGGGAUGGGAAUGCCAAAAUCCGCCCCGCCCCGCCCCGUUGACACCCCUAAUGACGAAUCGUUGAUGGAAUAAGAAUUGAAGGACAUUGUUGUUGGGGAAGCUUGUGCAGACUUGCGAAACCAAUUAGAUAUUACUUAUCCUGUCAACAAUGGUAUUAUUCAGAACUGGGAUGAUAUGUGUCAUGUAUGGGAUUAUGCAUUUUUCAAUGAAUUGAAGGUAGAUCCUACGGAAUGUACUCGUAAAAUUUUGUUGACAGAUCCACCGCUGAAUCCAUCAAAAAACUGUGAGCAAAUGUUACUUUUUAUUUUUUUGUUUUUUGUUUUUCCUGAUCCUGUCAACAUUUCUUAGGAAAUUUGUAUAAUUAAACCAGCAGUCCAGCAUUCUUAUUUGCUCAUCAUACUUGCACAAUUUUAAUUGUUAAACGAGGGCGGUUGAUGAUUUGAUCAUAAUGUAGGUUGAGACAAUGUUUGAGAGAUACAAUUUCUCUGGUGUCUUUAUCCAAAUCCAAGCUGUCCUAACGCUUUAUGUUCAAGUUGAUUAACGCGGGUGGUGUCAUUGAAACGACCUUCUCGCCUUGGGAGUACUCCUUAGAGUUUAGCUCUUACAUAUAUGAUAACGAGUGGCGCUUUAAUCGUGAAGCCUUACUGGCUGACCUAAUAAGCAGGUAAAUUACUCUGUAUUAUUUUUCAUGGGCAUUAUCUUAAUAAGUCUCUUUGUGUUGAAACUAAACAAGGAAAUGGCAGUUGAAGAUCCAUCAGCACCACAUGGAAUAAAGCUUGUUUCUAGUUUGACAAAGACCUUUACACAAGUGAAUUAAAGGUUAAGGCAUAGACUUCUUGAGUCAUUUCUAGUUUAUUAAGUCAAGUCAAGCAGAAACAGUUAAAAGGACGUCUCCCUCAAUCUUUAUACGUAGUAUUAGGCUCCUCAUCUGCCAAAUUUGCCAAAGAAUAUUCUAUACGAGUAUUAGCUGAGAUCAAAAUUCCUAGUGUUUUCCAUCUUCGUUCACUACUCAAAAAAGCUAAUCAUAAAAUGGAAAUUGUCAAACUAUGCCUUGGACUCAAGGACAUAUAAACUAAUACUGGAAUAGUGGUAUAAAGUCGGGUAACAAUCUGUGUGCUACCUCCAAUUAGCGUCUUGUCAUAUGAAGCAUAUGAAAAAUGGGUCAUAUUUUAUCAUAUUUUGGUAUUUUUAAACUGUGAAUGGGAUGUACUUACUGGUAAACUGUGAAAAUGUACUCAAGAUCAAUAAUAUGAUAGACUCGUUUACUAAAAAAGUCCAGAAUUCCAGAUAAGUCAUUAAUUUUCUGCUUCAAUAUAAUCUAAACAUUGAUAAGAUUUUAAACUAAACAUUAUUUGAAAAUCUCUUCUUAAUUUUGUUUCAUUUCAAGAUUUGUAAAUGUUUUCUAUCUUUCUAACAUAUGUUGCCCUAUUUGUGAUACCCGCUUAAUCUCAUACUCUCCCACCCUUACAAUUUUUCAAAAUAAUUUCAGAAACUCCAUUAAAAAAAGUCAUUUUCACAUUCACCCCAUUUUCUUUGUAACUUGGCAAGUAUUGCUAUUAGCUGUAAGAAUAAUUUUAACAAAAAAGAGUAUUUGAUCAUUUUAAUAGGUACAGUAAACAUGCCUUAUAAAUAACAGCUGCUUGAAUAACAAUUUCAUAAAUACUAAGUAAGAUUUAUAACUUUUCAAAAACUAGCUACUUACUUAUAUUAUACUCUGUAUUUGACAAGGACAUAUGCUAUCCGUUAUUGUCAAAAAAAUUAAAAGGACAUUUGCUAUGUGUGUGGUAACUAGUAAGGGCCGGGGGAUUAAAAAAUCUAUUUAAUGAGAUGGGAAUUAAAGCUAGAAAUCACCUCAAAAAUAAAACCUGAAAAGAAAUGAAAACAAACAAUAUGAAGCCACUUCAUCCUCUGUUUUUCAUACAACCAACCCUUUCAUUGUUGCUCCUUGUUUAACAAUGCAACAACUUACACCAAUUUAUUCCCUCGAUAGCACUAAUUAUUGAGGGAACGAAACUGAUUAUAUGGCAUUGUUAGCCAUCAAGAGCAAGCUUAUCGACCAUAGUCCUGACGGUGUUUUGAGCUCACUGAAUCACUCUCAUCACCAUUGUUUAUGGGAGGGUGUCACUUGUGGGCCCAGAUAUAACAGGGUCGUCAAGUUAUGGCUACCCACAAAAGGUUUAGGAGGAACUAUAUCUCCCUUCAUUGGAAACAUAAGCUUCCUGAGAUUGAUUUCAUUUACAAAUAAUAGUUUGCACGGUCAAAUUCCCCCUUGAGGUUAGUUGUUUGUUUAGGCUACGAUCACUAUAUUUGCCCAACAACUCUUUUAGUGGGGAAAUUCCGGCCAACAUAUCAAGCUGCAUCAACCUACAAAAUCUUUCUUUAGAUACCAACAAUCUACAGGGGGAACUUCCAAUGGGAUUAGGAGAGUUAUCCAACCUCAAAUUGUUAUGGGUUUACUCUAAUAAACUCUCUGGUAUGAUUCCCCAAUCCAUCUCUAACCUUUCCUCUCUUCUACCUUUAGACUUGUCUAAUAAUCAACUACACGGGGAACUUUCAGUGGGAUUAGGAGAAUAUCCAACCUCAAAUGGUUAGGGGUUAACUCUAAUAAACUCUUUGGUAAGGUUCCUCCAUCUAUUUCUAACCUUUCUCCUCUCUUCUAGAAUUAUUCUUGUAUGACAACCAACUACAUGGGAGACUCCCUAUGGAAUUAGGAGCAUUGCCUUGCCUCCAAACUCUUGCUGCUUCCUUCAAUAGUUUUACUGGUAUGAUUCCCUCAUCAAUCUUCAACCUCUCCUCCCUUCAAAGUAUAGAUUUGGCGUACAACCAACUACAGGGAAGAUUGCCACAGUUUUUUGCUUCACUUCCUCAAUUAGAAAUUAUGUCACUUGCCUCUAACCAUUUGUCAGAAUCAUUACCAAUAUCCUUAUCAAACCUCACAAGUCUUCAAAUAAUUCAGUUGGAUGUAAACAACUUCACAGGUAGCAUUACCAAUUUUCAUUUUAGACACCUCCAUAACCUGCAAAACCUAAAUCUUGGUAAAAAUAGUUUUGAAGGUGACAUCUCUUUUAUUAGUACAUUGGUUAACUGUAGCAAAUUGGAUACCCCUUGGUUUGGAACAAAAUCAAUUCACAGGAUUAUUGCCAAGAGUAGUAGUCAAUCUUUCCACUACUUUAUCAUGGUUUGAUAUUAGUCAAAAUUUAUUAAGUGGAGGAUUUCCUAAAGAUUUUAGUAAUCUCAUCAAUCUUAGAUACAUAUCCAUGUCAAGAACUGGGCUCACUGGAACCAUCCCUCAAGAUCUUGGAAAGCUUCAAAAGCUAGAGAAAUUAUAUCUCUAUAACAACAAAUUGACAGGUGAAAUUCCUAUUUCAAUCGGAAAUUUAUCGCGUUUGAGCACACUGAGCUUAUCAAAUAACAACUUGCAAGGCAGAAUACCUCCAAGCCCUGGCAAUUGCACAAACCUGUUAUAUUUGUAUCUAUCGAAUAAUAAUUUCAAUGGACCAUUGCCUAAGAAUCUCUUUGCAGGAUCUGCCAAGUUUAUUGAACUAGAUUUAUCUUAUAAUAAAUUAGAAGGGCUCAUACCUGUUGAGAUCAGUAACCAAGUCAAUGCAAUAGCAUUGGGUGUGUCCGGAAUAAAUUGACAAGGGAAAUUCCAGAUAUCUUUAGCAACCUACCUGAACUUGCAAUACUGUAUAUGGGUGAUAAUAUGUUCUGUGGUUCAAUUCCUACAACAUUCGCCUCUUUGAAAAGUCUUUUAGAAGUUGAUCUUUCUAAGAACAAUCUUUCUGGCAUCAUUCCUGAAUCUUUUUUUACCUUUCCCAUGAUAUACCUCAUAAACCUAUCUUACAAUAAUUUUGAGGGAAGUGUUCCAACUACAGGAGUAUUUGCAAAUACAAGUGCAAUAAUUCUGGAUGGCAAUAGUAGGCUCUGUGGUGGAAUUUUGGAGCUGCAUCUACCAAGAUGUGUGGAGAAAAAAGGGAAGAAAAGAAGAAUGUUUCAUGCUCACAAGCUGACAUUUAUGAUAAUAGUGCUUUUGUUGGGAUAUCGCUCAUGGCCACAUGCAUAUGGCUCUACCUGAAACGUCGUAACAAAAAAGGGAAAUACUCAUUCGAUGCACUACGGAAGGAGUCAUUCUUGAAAGUGUCCUACGAAAUGCUGCUCAAAGCAACUGAUGGAUUUUCUUCGAGUAAUCUACUUGGCUCGGGUACUUUUGGGUCUGUGUUUAAAGGGAUGCUUGAUGGAAAGACGGCUGCCAUUAAAGUACUCAACUUGCAACAAAGAGGUGGGUCUAGGAGUUUCAUGGCAGAGUGUGAGGCAUUGAGGAAUAUCCGUCAUCGUAAUCUGGUUGGGAUACUAACAGCAUGCUCAAGUAUGGAUUUCCAGAGAAACGAUUUCAAAGCUCUUGUUUACGAGUUCAUGCCCAAUGGAAGUGUUGAGAGAUGGCUACACGAAGAUGGAAAUAUGAGCCUUCUAUAAAGGUUGGAUAUAGCCAUUGAUGUGGCCCAUGCAAUAAAUUAUCUUCAUUAUGAGUGUGGAAGCCAGAUUGUGCACUGCGAUCUAAAACCGAGCAACAUAUUGCUUGACGAUGACAUGGUUGCCCGUGUAGCAGAUUUUGGGUUAGCAAAGGUUCUUGAUCUUCCCGUGCAUCCAAAUCAAAGCAGUUCAAUUGGCAUUAGGGGAACUGUUGGCUAUGCUGCUCCAGAGUAUGGCUUGGGAAAUGAAACAUCUCUUGAGGCUGAUCUCUACAGCUACGGAAUUCUACUUCUUGAGCUAAUGACAAGAAAGAGAUCCAUCAACGAUAUGUUUAAUGAAGACUUCAACCUCCAUAUGUACGCAAAGGCAGCAUUACCAGAACAAGUGUUGCAGAUUGUUGACUCAACACUUUUGGAGGAAGAAAGUGAUGAAGCAGAUGAAACAAGACCGCGAACUCAAGUGAUACUUCAACACGAGAGGAGUGCAUGGUGUUUGUCAUUAAGAUUGGAGUUGCUUGCUCAAGUCAAUAUCCACAUGAUCGAAUGAAGAUAAGGGAAGCAAUAAGCGAGCUAUAUCAUGCAAGAAACAUCCUUUGCUAACCAAGAGGGGCAACUUAUUGAGCAUUACAAUGCUCAAGAUGAUUGGCCUCGCCGUACUAAAUCCAUAGCAAGCCAAAGAAGCUAGCAUCUUGCUACUCUAGAGGUGUUCUGUGCAUGAUUAUAAAAGAAAUGAUACAUUUCAGUAUGAGCACAGAUAAAAGUAGUUAAUUUCAUUUUAUUUCCUGUAGCUUAGUAGCUAUUAUAUCAUACGUGCAUCUAAGUAUUGUAAGUAACUUCUGUUCUUUCCUUAAUAGUAUAAUCAAUUCAUGUUCCGUGAUUA